rnacentral:rRNA from 1 species
UACGUAGGGUGCAAGCGUUAAUCGGAAUUACUGGGCGUAAGGCGUGCGCAGGCGGUUUGUCGCGUCUGCCGUGAAAGUCCGGGGCUCAACUCCGGAUCUGCGGUGGGUACGGGCAGACUAGAGUGAUGUAGGGGAGACUGGAAUUCCUGGUGUAGCGGUGAAAUGCGCAGAUAUCAGGAGGAACACCGAGUGGCGAAGGCAGGUCUCUGGGCAUUAACUGACGCUGAGGAGCGAAAGCGUGGGGAGCGAACAGG